rnacentral:rRNA from 1 species
UGAGGAAGAUAAUGACGGUACUCAACAAGGAAGUGACGGCUAACUACGUGCCAGCAGCCGCGGUAAAACGUAGGUCACAAGCGUUGUCCGGAAUUACUGGGUGUAAAGGGAGCGCAGGCGGGAAGACAAGUUGGAAGUGAAAUCCAUGGGCUCAACCCAUGAACUGCUUUCAAAACUGUUUUUCUUGAGUAGUGCAGAGGUAGGCGGAAUUCCCGGUGUAGCGGUGGAAUGCGUAGAUAUCGGGAGGAACACCAGUGGCGAAGGCGGCCUACUGGGCACCAACUGACGCUGAGGCUCGAAAGUGUGGGUAGCAAACAGGAUUAGAUACCCUGGUAGUCCACACUGUAAACGAUGAUUACUAGGUGUUGGAGGAUUGACCCCUUCAGUGCCGCAGUUAACACAAUAAGUAAUCCACCUGGGGAGUACGACCGCAAGGUUGAAACUCAAAGGAAUUGACGGGGGCCCGCACAAGCAGUGGAGUAUGUGGUUUAAUUCGACGCAACGCGAAGAACCUUACCAAGUCUUGACAUCCUGCGACGGACAUAGAAAUAUGUUUUUCCUUCGGGACGCAGAGACAGGUGGUGCAUGGUUGUCGUCAGCUCGUGUCGUGAGAUGUUGGGUUAAGUCCCGCAACGAGCGCAACCCUUAUGGUCAGUUACUACGCAAGAGGACUCUGGCCAGACU